rnacentral:rRNA from 1 species
AUGGCUGUACAUACCACCCUGAACAUGCCUGAUCUUGUCUGAUCUAGGACACUUACGCAGGGUUGGGCCUGGUUAGUACUUGGAUGGGAGAAAUCUCUUAUGAUGAGAUCACUUUUUCCUAUG